CAGAAGCAAGCAGCAGUGGGCCAGUGAGGCAGUGCAGGCCGGAAUGAGGGAGAGGGGAUUGCGAGAGGCUGUACGGGUGCCAGGUUCUACAGUGCUUUUAUAAACAUGUUUGCCUUAAGCCAAGCGGUGAACAUUUUCAGACUUUAUAUGGGAAAGGAGCAGAGGAACGGGACCUUUCGGGAUCCUUGGGGCUCCCAGUCUAAGGAGGGUCGAGGCAUCCUAUCUGAAGCACCCCCCUUUGCUAUUCCUCCUCAGGACGAAGAUAGAGACGACGUAUAGAUCUGACUGCACACUGUCAUCUGCAGGACCUCUAGGUCCUGGAUAUGUGAAGUGAACUUGAAUCGACUUCAGGUUUGGAUGCACACUUUGUCUCUCAGAGAGGGU